GAGUUUGAUCGUGGCUCAGAUUGAACGCUGGCGGCAUGCCUUACACAUGCAAGUCGAACGGCAGCACGGGAGCUUGCUCCUGGUGGCGAGUGGCGAACGGGUGAGUAAUGCAUCGGAACGUAUCCUGGAGUGGGGGAUAACGUAGCGAAAGUUACGCUAAUACCGCAUAUUCUGUGAGCAGGAAAGCGGGGGACCUUCGGGCCUCGCGCUCUUGGAGCGGCCGAUGUCGGAUUAGCUAGUUGGUGAGGUAAAGGCUCACCAAGGCGACGAUCCGUAGCAGGUCUGAGAGGAUGAUCUGCCACACUGGAACUGAGACACGGUCCAGACUCCUACGGGAGGCAGCAGUGGGGAAUUUUGGACAAUGGGGGCAACCCUGAUCCAGCCGUGCCGCGUGAGUGAAGAAGGCCUCGG
rnacentral:rRNA from 1 species